UGGGGAAUCUUGGACAAUGGGCGCAAGCCUGAUCCAGCCAUGCCGCGUGGGUGAAGAAGGCCUUAGGGUUGUAAAGCCCUUUCAGUCGUGACGAUGAUGACGGUAGCGACAGAAGAAGCCCCGGCUAACUCCGUGCCAGCAGCCGCGGUAAUACGGAGGGGGCAAGCGUUGUUCGGAAUUACUGGGCGUAAAGCGCGCGUAGGCGGCCUAUCAAGUCAGGGGUGAAAUCCCGGGGCUCAACCCCGGAACUGCCCUUGAAACUGGUAAGCUAGAAUCCUGGAGAGGCGAGUGGAAUUCCGAGUGUAGAGGUGAAAUUCGUAGAUAUUCGGAAGAACACCAGUGGCGAAGGCGACUCGCUGGACAGGUAUUGACGCUGAGGUGCGAAAGCGUGGGGAGCAAACAGGAUUAGAUACCCCCGUAGUCC
rnacentral:rRNA from 1 species